ensembl:lncRNA
CUUCUAGCAGGGGAGUGUGUGUGUGUGUGUGUGUGUCCUUACUGUCUGUCUUCUAGCAGGGGAGUGUGGGAGUGUGUGUCCUUACUGUCUGUCUUCUAGCAGGGGAGUGUGUGUGUGUGUCCUUACUGUCUGUCUUCUAGCAGGGAUGUGUGUGUGUGUGUGUGUCCUUACUGUCUGUCUUCUAGCAGGGGAGUGUGUGUGUGUCCUUACUGUCUGUCUUCUAGCAGGGAGUGUGUGUGUGUGUGUCCUUACUGUCUGUCUUCUAGCAGGGGAGUGGGUGUGUGUGUGUGUCCUUACUGUCUGUCUUCUAGCAGGGGAGUGUGUGUGUGUGUGUGUGUCCUUACUGUCUGUCUUCUAGCAGGGGAGUGUGUGUGUGUGUGUGUCUU